AAGUUUAGGUUAAACAAACCAAGAGCCUUCAAAGCCCUAAACAAGAGUCCCGCCCUCCUAAC
rnacentral:tRNA from 1 species